rnacentral:lncRNA from 13 species
AUGCAUUAUUAUUCCNNNNNNNNNNCCCAGCCCAGCCUCAGCCAGCCUAUCCCUGUGCACCUCCCGCCCAGCCCGACUUCCUUUCUGCCCAGCCUGCUUACAAUCCUGCCUUCAUGGAGCCCCAGCCUCCCAAGACUGGCAACUGAAGCAACUCCUCCCCUCCCAUUCUCCAUCCACCCGCUCUCAUGGGAGACGGACGGACGGACGGGUGGGAUAGAAACAGACAGACUGACUGACUGGUGGGAUAGAAACAGACUGACNNNNNNNNNNUUGUUGCGGAUGUAUUAGAGAUGUUCAACUCCAUCAUAUUGUUGCGGAUGUAUUAAGGAUUUCAACUCCAUCAUAUUGUUGCGGAUGUAUUAGAGAUGUUCAACUCCAUCAUAUUGUUGCGGAUGUAUUAGAGAUGUUCAACUCCAUCAUAUUGUUGCUGAUGUAUUAGAGAUGUUCAACUCCAUCAUAUUGUUGCGGAUGUAUUAGAGUUGUUCAACUCCAUCAUACUGUUGCAAAUGUAUUAGAGAUGUUCAAUUCCAUCAUAUUGUUGCUGAUAUAUUAGAGAUGUUCAACUCCAUCAUAUUGUUGCUGAUGUAUUAGAGAUGUUCAACUCCAUCAUAUUGUUGCUGAUGUAUUAGAGAUGUUCAACUCCAUCAUACUGUUGCAGAUGUAUUAGAGAUGUUCAACUCCAUCAUAUUGUUGCUGAUAUAUUAGAGAUGUUCAACUCCAUCAUAUUGUUGCUGAUGUAUUAGAGAUGUUCAACUCCAUCAUAUUGUUGCUGAUGUAUUAGAGAUGGCAGAACUGGAGGUUCACAGCCUUGUGGUGGAGACACAGCAACAGCAUCGUGGCAUCUUCGUCGAUACCAUGCCGCGUUUCUGGCAGGGUAUGUGGUGACGAAGAUGACAUGACCGGUAUGUAAUUGGAGUCCACCUCAUAGUUGAUGCAAUUGGAAUACGUUUGAUUAUAAAAAAUUAUUAACUUUUUGAUUUAUUUUUAAAUGUCACAGAACACUUGCUCUCCACCGCCACCUCGUUGUUGACGCCCUCACUGACGAAGGCAUUUGAGGUCAUUUUCUUGUCUAAAGAAAUUGAUUGUCUUGACGAGUCUCUCAACUUCAAUUAGCUUACAAUUCACAUGACUAAUAAUAACCUUCCACUUAACUAUUCAAUUGCAUUUAUGAAAGCUUUUCGCCG